UGGGAAAAAUGAGGACCAGAAGUGGUGGGUGUUGUGAUCCAUUGGCAGCCUGCGGAGAUGGUAGCAGAGUCGGACAGUGGGGAGGAACAUGGGCCAGUCCUGGAGUCUGGGGAGGACUCGGACGAGGGUCCUGCAUCCAACACAGAGAUGGAGCCAGGGCCAUCUGGGAGUU